rnacentral:rRNA from 1 species
GACGAACGCUGGCGGCGCGCCUAACACAUGCAAGUCGAACGAGCGAGAGAGAGCUUGCUUUCUUGAGCGAGUGGCGAACGGGUGAGUAACGCGUGAGGAACCUGCCUCAAAGAGGGGGACAACAGUUGGAAACGACUGCUAAUACCGCAUAAGCCCACGGUGCCGCAUGGCACAGAGGGAAAAGGAGCAAUCCGCUUUGAGAUGGCCUCGCGUCCGAUUAGCUAGUUGGGGAGGUAACGGCCCACCAAGGCGACGAUCGGUAGCCGGACUGAGAGGUUGAACGGCCACAUUGGGACUGAGACACGGCCCAGACUCCUACGGGAGGCAGCAGUGGGGAAUAUUGCACAAUGGGGGAAACCCUGAUGCAGCGACGCCGCGUGGAGGAAGAAGGUCUUCGGAUUGUAAACUCCUGUUGUUGGGGAAGAUAAUGACGGUACCCAACAAGGAAGUGACGGCUAACUACGUG